rnacentral:rRNA from 1 species
UACGUAGGGUCCGAGCGUUGUCCGGAAUUAUUGGGCGUAAAGGGCUCGUAGGCGGUUCGUCACGUCGGGAGUGAAAACUCGGGGCUUAACCCCGAGCCUGCUUCCGAUACGGGCAGACUAGAGGUAGGCAGGGGAGAGCGGAACUCCUGGUGUAGCGGUGGAAUGCGCAGAUAUCAGGAGGAACACCGGUGGCGAAGGCGGGUCCCUGGGCCGAUACUGACGCUGAGGAGCGAAAGCGUGGGGAGCGAACAGG